AUAGAAUGAAGCAAUCAUAUCCUUUGGUAUUUCCAGAAAGAAGUUGAAAACUUAUGUUCACAGAAACAUCUGCCUACAGAUUCAUUGAAGAUUUAUCCAUAUUUGCUAACUAUUAUAUGCUUGUAUCUGAAAUGUCCAUAACAGAAUCAUGUGUCUGAACAUAUGUGCCCCAUUUGGUGGCGCUGGUGGAUGUGGAAACAGCUCUUAGCUCUUGUUAAGAAAACACUGACUUCACUUUUUGCCCACAAGGUAACUGAAGCAGGAAGAAAGCCUGACAUCUCAAACCUUCAUUUAUGUCUGUAAUUGGCCUGAAGGUACAGAGGUCAAUUUCCUGACGACAGGGAGAACAGUCUCUAAGUACUCUCCUGUCCCAUAUUGGCCUCUUCCUCAUCAUGUCUGUCCUCCCACAUGAGCAAGAUCCUACUCUGGUCAGCAAUACGGUUCAGUGAACCCUUACACAUGAUCUCACAAUGUGAACUGGAUUCCUGGGACCCACACAAUGUCAAAGGAGAAAUGACAGUGCCCAGAAGGUGGUGCAGCCAAAUCUGAUGUGAAGAACAGAAGUCAUAAAAGCCCGCACAGCUGCUCGACAAAUACCCAGCAAAGCUGAGUCAUAUGAUCACCAUUGUGACCACCUUUCACUUUCAGUUUUGAUCUUCCCAUGUUGCAUGCUUGGAAGGCUAUCAACAUUUGCACAACUUGGAGAUAUUGGAUUGAUGGAAAAUUUCUUAUGAAUCAUUUAUGCCUUCCCCCAGGAGUACUGCUUCUAAAGUUCCUCAGGAUAGUCCUGAGCAUACUAUCCCUCCCAUGUUUAAGGGAGUUAUCCUUAUCUUGUUGACAGUCUUUCUUGGGCCCUGGAGGGCAUGAGAAACAUAAAGAUGCCAAAGAUCUCUCAUUUAUUUGGCUCUGAGAUAUUCUUGAAACAUCUGCCUUUGUAUUUACUCAGGAACAAGAAAAUCAGGACAAAUUAAACUUAAAAAGGGCAACAAGAUAUAGUGGACUAGAGGAGUUGGCAGCAGAUCAGAUUGCAAGUCUCUUUCUACUAUACACGCAGGUGAUUAUGUUACAUAUACAGCAACAAAGUUAGAUUAGCUGGUAAUCUAACUUGGUAUUAGGGUAGUUACCUCUGCCCUACAUAGAGGCUUACAUUGAUGGGCAAAAAAUGGUGUGGAAAAAUGACAAAAGAAUGAGAUAUUAGGACAUCCCUUUUUAGAAAACUUGAUGUCAUAUGACUAAGGAACAAAAGAAUGCUAGGAUUAAACAUAUGAAUAGUUUCUAUAAAGAUAUAAAGUAUAAAUAUAGUAUUAUGCCAGAAAUUGAAUUACAACUGCAGAAGCUUUGGCCUGAGGAUGUUUUUUUGGGCCUUUUACCAACUGGCACUCUGAACACUAAGAGUUAAUAAUAAUGUGGGCCACUAGCAGUGAAACCAGGACUUAGUCCUACUGCUUGUACUGGCUUUUUGGAACCUACUCUUUCGAAGGAUAUCUUGCUCAGCCUAGAUGUAGUGGGGAGGGCCUUGGUCCUGCCUCAAAGCAAUGUCCUAGACUUUAUUGACUCUGCAUGGGAAGUCUUGCCCUCACUGACUGAACUGGGAGUGGGAUAGGGGGAAAGGAGCGGGAGGAAGGGGGGGGAGUGGGAACUGGGAUUGGUAUGUAAAAUGAGAAAAGAUAGUUUAAAAAGUUAAUAAUAUAUUACUUGGGACAUGGAAGUCUGCCCAGGCUGACUUGGAGUAUUUCUUUCUGCCUGGAGUCCUUGAAGCUAUAAGAGUUGUCUAGAAAUUGGGUUAUAGGGUUGGUGAGAAAAGAAUUACUGUAAAAGAUAACUCUGUCCUGUCAUGGUUUAUCAAAGAUGACUAAAAGAAAUGCAAGAAGAAGCUAAACAUGUGUCAGAGGACAGAAAUGAUAUGAUCUAUGUUUUAGAACAACAUAAAUCUAUUUCCUCCUUACUAAGUUCUGUGUAAAUAAAGAAGCACUCUGACUGCCAGUCACUUAGGUUACAAGAUUCUCCUGACAACCAUGCCUGCCUCACUUCUUCCCUCACCUACUUCUUGCCUCCUCUCUGGAACCUGUCAACUGCCAGGUCUACCCCUCAGCAAGAAAGAUCAGAAAGUAGUGUUUUCCCUUCCAUCACGAGUUAUUUUCCUCGCCUUUCAGUGACUCAUCUUGUUUGUACAGCAUGCUAAGGUCUAAAGAGUGGCACAUAUGUCACCUCCCUUCAAUUCAGAAUGCCUUGUCACUUGUAAAAAGCAAUGUGUUUGUCUGAAAAGAAAAUGCAGCUACUGGCUCCAGGAUGUAAAGGUCUUAGCUCUAACUAAACCUUUCAAGGAAACAAUAACUUCUAUGCUUGAAGAGGAAAACUGCUCAGUGAGAAGUUUUCCUACUUGGAAAAAGUCUUUCACAUCACUAACUCUUGCAGAUGGAAGUUGGAGACAAUAAAGUUUGUUUUUUACAGGG